CCUCCUAUUUCCGGAUUUCAUCGAUCGGAAUAUUUUCUUUUGAAUAAAUAUAGAAUGAAGCAAACCCAUGCAAUAGCACAUUUUCGAGUUAGUGCCGGAACGCGUGUUUAUUCUAGAUUUUAUAUAACGUGAUCACGUGAUUUCAAGAUUUGGUUAGCCUUCGAUACUUCCGGUAAAAUAGCAUCUGUUGGGAAGAAAACGAAGGGAUCAAAAGCAAGAUACUACUGCUCAGGGUGAGGACUCGUGGAAGAUGGGAAAGUAUGGUUAUACAAAAAACAUUAUAUUCUAUCCCUUUCUGGCACAGACAAAAGAUCCGAAAAGCGUGAUUAAAGUUGAUGAAACAAAUAGAUUACGAACCUUCGAAACAUCAUGAACUUGUACUAGUUAUAGACUGUACUCCAAACACUUCGUAGAUUGAACGCCUACAAAGGAAAACCCCUACCUGACUGUUUGCCAACAACAACUAUAAACAGCCUUUGAAGUUGAAAAGUACGAGUUCUUUCGACAAGCGGGACGUCGAGCCAUCCAUCUCACAGUAGCAUGAACUGAUAUCGAAACUUUGUUUUAGUGAUGAUAAUUAUUCCACUAAUCGCAAUUAUAUUGGUUUCUCGUCACCUCGAAACAUCAAGAAAACAGCUGAAAUGGAAGUACAGACCGAUAUAAGAAUGGAAGAAAUGACAAAGCUCCUGGAUUUGAAGUCGAAAUCCUAGAACCCUGAUGUUGUUUGUCCAGAGAGUCGCGUGUACAUCCAGUGACGGGAGCGUGAAACAGCAUACUGGAGUGUCAUUGAAUAUUUGCACUUUCCAUUAUCGCAACAAUAGAUUCUAGAUCGAUUAGAGAAUAUUCAUGAAAAUGUGGGAGCAUUUUUUAUAAAGUGUAUUAUAAUUUAAUGAUAGAAUGUUGUCAUUUAUGUUCUAAUGAACCGUUAUGCACUGGAAAAUUGAACGUGUUUUAAGUUUCAAAUGCGAACUAGUGCUAAUGUAAUUUCAAAUAAAGUUUAUUAUCUAUCUUCUAA